CCCUUAGAUGCUCUGGGCCGCACGCGCGCUACACUGGUCGAUGCAACGAGUUUCUUUCCUUGGCCGACAGGCCUGGGCAAUCUUUGAACAUCGAUCGUGAUCGGGAUAGAUUCUUGUAAUUUUUGAUCUUAAACGAGGAAUUCCUAGUAAACGCAAGUCAUCAGCUUGCAUUGAUUACGUCCCUGCCCUUUGUACACACCGCCCGUCGCACCUACCGAUUGAAUGGUCCGGUGAAAUCUCCGGACUGGCGUGAGUCGGAGCAAUCUGACAAACACCGGAAAGUCGAUUAAACCUUACCAUUUAGAGGAAGGUGAAGUCGUAACA
rnacentral:rRNA from 1 species